rnacentral:rRNA from 1 species
AUUGAACGCUGGCGGCAUGCCUUACACAUGCAAGUCGAACGGCAGCACGGGGGCAACCCUGGUGGCGAGUGGCGAACGGGUGAGUAAUACAUCGGAACGUGCCCGAUAGUGGGGGAUAGCUCGGCGAAAGCCGGAUUAAUACCGCAUACGACCUACGGGUGAAAGCGGGGGAUCGCAAGACCUCGCGCUAUCAGAGCGGCCGAUGUCAGAUUAGGUUGUUGGUGGGGAAAGGCCUACCAAGCCGACGAUCUGUAGCUGGUCUGAGAGGACGGACCAGCCACACUGGGACUGAGACACGGCCCAGACUCCUACGGGAGGCAGCAGUGGGGAAUUUUGGACAAUGGGCGAAAGCCUGAUCCAGCCAUGCCGCGUGCGGGAAGAAGGCCUGG